rnacentral:rRNA from 1 species
UGAGGAAUAUUGGUCAAUGGGCGAGAGCCUGAACCAGCCAAGUAGCGUGCAGGAUGACGGCCCUCCGGGUUGUAAACUGCUUUUAGUUGGGAAUAAAAAGGGACUUGUCCCUUCUUGUAUGUACCUUCAGAAAAAGGACCGGCUAAUUCCGUGCCAGCAGCCGCGGUAAUACGGAAGGUCCGGGCGUUAUCCGGAUUUAUUGGGUUUAAAGGGAGCGUAGGCGGAUUGUUAAGUCAGCGGUUAAAGGGUGUGGCUCAACCAUGCAUUGCCGUUGAAACUGGCGAUCUUGAGUGCAGACAGGGAUGCCGGAAUUCGUGGUGUAGCGGUGAAAUGCUUAGAUAUCACGAAGAACUCCGAUCGCGAAGGCAGGUGUCCGGGCUGCAACUGACGCUGAGGCUCGAAAGUGUGGGUAUCAAACAGGAUUAGAUACCCUGGUA